rnacentral:lncRNA from 1 species
GUGGGAUGGGUGGGGGGUAACGGGGGAAACUGGGGAAGUGGGGAACCGAGGGGCAACCAGGGGAAGAUGGGGUGCUGGAGGAGAGCUUGUGGGAGCCAAGGAGCACCUUGGACAUCUGGAGUCUGGCAGGAGUGAUGACGGGUGGAGGGGCUAGCUCGAGGCAGGGCUGGUGGGGCCUGAGGCCAGUGAGGAGUGUGGAGUAGGCGCCCAGGCAUCGUGCAGACAGGGCGACAUCAGCUGGGGACGAUGGGCCUGAGCUAGGGCUGGAAAGAAGGGGGAGCCAGGCAUUCAUCCCGGUCACUUUUGGUUACAGGACGUGGCAGCUGGUUGGACGAGGGGAGCUGGUGGGCAGGGGUCUGGUGCGGAGAGGGCCCACAGUGGACUUGGUGACGCUGUAUGCCCUCACCGCUCAGCCCCUGGGGCUGGCUUGGCAGACAGUACAGCAUCCAGGGGAGUCAAGGGCAUGGGGCGAGACCAGACUAGGCGAGGCGGGCGGGGCGGAGUGAAUGAGCUCUCAGGAGGGAGGAUGGUGCAGGCAGGGGUGAGGAGCGCAGCGGGCGGCGAGCGGGAGGCACUGGCCUCCAGAGCCCGUGGCCAAGGCGGGCCUCGCGGGCGGCGACGGAGCCGGGAUCGGUGCCUCAGCGUUCGGGCUGGAGACGAGGCCAGGUCUCCAGCUGGGGUGGACGUGCCCACCAGCUGCCGAAGGCCAAGACGCCAGGUCCGGUGGACGUGACAAGCAGGACAUGACAUGGUCCGGUGUGACGGCGAGGACAGAGGAGGCGCGUCCGGCCUUCCUGAACACCUUAGGCUGGUGGGGCUGCGGCAAGAAGCGGGUCUGUUUCUUUACUUCCUCCACGGAGUCGGCACACUAUGGCUGCCCUCUGGGCUCCCAGAACCCACAACAUGAAAGAAAUGGUGCUACCCAGCUCAAGCCUGGGCCUUUGAAUCCGGACACAAAACCCUCUAGCUUGGAAAUGAAUAUGCUGCACUUUACAACCACUGCACUACCUGACUCAGGAAUCGGCUCUGGAAGGUGAAGCUAGAGGAACCAGACCUCAUCAGCCCAACAUCAAAGACACCAUCGGAACAGCAGCGCCCGCAGCACCCACCCCGCACCGGCGACUCCAUCUUCAUGGCCACCCCCUGCGGCGGACGGUUGACCACCAGCCACCACAUCAUCCCAGAGCUGAGCUCCUCCAGCGGGAUGACGCCGUCCCCACCACCUCCCUCUUCUUCUUUUUCAUCCUUCUGUCUCUUUGUUUCUGAGCUUUCCUGUCUUUCCUUUUUUCUGAGAGAUUCAAAGCCUCCACGACUCUGUUUCCCCCGUCCCUUCUGAAUUUAAUUUGCACUAAGUCAUUUGCACUGGUUGGAGUUGUGGAGACGGCCUUGAGUCUCAGUACGAGUGUGCGUGAGUGUGAGCCACCUUGGCAAGUGCCUGUGCAGGGCCCGGCCGCCCUCCAUCUGGGCCGGGUGACUGGGCGCCGGCUGUGUGCCCGAGGCCUCACCCUGCCCUCGCCUAGUCUGGAAGCUCCGACCGACAUCACGGAGCAGCCUUCAAGCAUUCCAUUACGCCCCAUCUCGCUCUGUGCCCCUCCCCACCAGGGCUUCAGCA